rnacentral:rRNA from 1 species
UAUGUGAUCGUCUCUCGCAUAUCAAUAAGCGGAGGAAAAGAAACUAACAAGGAUUCCCCUAGUAACGGCGAGUGAAGCGGGAAGAGCUCAAAUUUGAAAUCUUAAAGGGUUUCCCUUUACGAAUUGUAGUUUAAAGAAGUGUUUUCUGUUGAGGUUUUGGUAAAAGUUCUUUGGAAUAGGACAUCAUAGAGGGUGAGAAUCCCGUAUUUGACCUUUACUUUCAACUUUGUGAUACACUUUCAAAGAGUCGGAUUGUUUGGGAAUGCAGUCCAAAAUGGGUGGUAAAUUUCAUCUAAAGCUAAAUAUUGGCGAGAGACCGAUAGCGAACAAGUACCGUGAGGGAAAGAUGAAAAGGACUUUGAAAAGAGAGUUAAACAGUACGUGAAGUUGUCAAAAGGGAAGCGUUUGACACCAGUGUUGUUUUUCUGAAAAUCAAUUAAAGAACUGUUUAUGCUAAGUUGUUUAGACUUUAUCAGCUAUCUGUUUAGUUUUGAGCUUUUCUUUAAUGCACUUUUCAGUUAACAAGUCAACAUCAAUUUCUUUUGCUGUAAAAAAGCUUGAGGAAGGUGGCUUGAGAUUCGUCUUAAGUGUUUAUAGCCUCUUGCCUAUGCAGUCGGAGAGAUUGAGGUCUGCAGCGUAGAUCCUUCGGGGCUAAAUGCAUUUGUGCUAAGUUAUAGCAUUUUAUAGACAACUUGUUGACUAUGAUUUGUCUUGUAGCUUACUCGCUUAUGUUAUUUUACCUACGCUUAGGAUGUUGAAGACUCUACAGAGAU